GAUGAACGCUGGCGGCGUGCCUAAUACAUGCAAGUCGAGCGAAAAGACGAGGAGCUUGCUCCGCUGACGUUAGCGGCGGACGGGUGAGUAACACGUGGAUCACCUCCCUAUAAGACUGAGAUCACUUCGGGAAACCGGAGAUAAUCCCGGAUAAUCUGUUGAAUCGCGUGGUUCAACAGUGAAAGACGGUCUUGCUGUCACUUAUAGAUGGUUCUGCGCGGCAUUAGCUAGUUGGUAAGGUAACGGCUUACCAAGGCAACGAUGCGUAGCCGAGCUGAGAGGGGGAUCGGCCACACUGGAACGGGGACACGGUCCAGACUCCUACGGGAGGCAGCAGUCGGGAAUCUUCCGCAAUGGGCGAAAGCCUGACGGAGCAACGCCGCGUGAGUGAAGAAGGUCUUCGGAUCGUAAAACUCUGUUAUUAGGGAAGAACAAAUGUGUAAGUAACUAUGCACGUCUUGACGGUACCUAAUCAGAAAGCCACGGCUAACUACGUG
rnacentral:rRNA from 1 species